rnacentral:rRNA from 1 species
UUAGCCAUAAACAUAAAUAGUUAAUAACAUUACUAUUCGCCAGAGGACUACAAGCCAUUGCUUAAAACUCAAAGGACUUGGCGGUGCUUUAUAUCCAUCUAGAGGAGCCUGUUCCAUAAUCGAUGAUCCCCGAUCUACCUUACCACUCCUUGCUAAUUCAGCCUAUAUACCGCCAUCUUCAGCUAACCCUAAAAAGGAACUAAAGUAAGCUAAAUGAGUAACUACUAAAGAAGUUAGGUCAAGGUGUAGCCCAUGGAGUGGGGCGAAAUGGGCUACAUUUUCUACCACUAGAACAUAACGAAACCCUAUGUGAAAUCCAUAGGAUAAAGGAGGAUUUAGUAGUAAACUAAAACUAGAGUGUUUAGUUGAAUAGAGCAAUGAAGCAC